UACGUAGGGGGCAAGCGUUGUCCGGAUUUAUUGGGCGUAAAGAGCGUGUAGGCGGCCAGACAGGUCAGCUGUGAAAACUCGAGGCUCAACCUCGAGACGUCGGUUGAAACCGUCUGGCUAGAGUCCGGAAGAGGAGAGUGGAAUUCCCGGUGUAGCGGUGAAAUGCGCAGAUAUCGGGAAGAACACCCGUGGCGAAGGCGGCGCUCUGGGACAGUACUGACGCUGAGACGCGAAAGCGUGGGGAGCAAACAGG
rnacentral:rRNA from 1 species